GGUGAUGCAUUGGCUUGUGGCCAUGCAGUGCCGCAGGGAAGCCGUUAAGUCUGCCGCCUGGGAAGUACGUACGCAAGUAUGAAACUUAAAGGAAUUGGCGGGGGAGCACCACAAGGGGUGAAGCCUGCGGUUCAAUUGGAGUCAACGCCAGAAAUCUUACCUGGGGAGACAGCAGAAUGAAGGUCAAGCCUGAAGACUUUACCAGACACGCUGAGAGGUGGUGCAUGGCCGUCGCCAGCUCGUGCCGUGAGAUGUCCUGUUAAGUCAGGUAACGAGCGAGACCCCUGCGUCUAGUUGCUACCAUUACUCUCUGGAGCAGUGGAGCGAAUUAGACGGACCGCCACAGUUAAUGUGGAGGAAGGAAGGGGCCCGGCAGGUCAGUAUGCCCCGAAACCCUAGGGCUACACGCGGGCUGCAUGGUAUUGACCAUGUGUUCCGAAUCCGAAAGGAGGAGGCAUCAUCAACAUAUCUCAGUUAUGACUGAGGGCUGAAACUCGCCCUCACGAAUAUGAAUCCCUAUAACCCGCGGCACCGCGCGAACUGCCCGCCGC
rnacentral:rRNA from 1 species